CUCUCUCUCUCUCUCUCUCUCUCUCUCUCUCUCUCUCUCUCUCUCUUUCCCUCUUCCUUUCUCUACCUAUCUAUCCGCGGACUACUUCAGCCGCCUCCCGCCUUUCGCGAGCGACUACAUCGAUGCCGCCUCCGCCACCGCCGACCGACAGUUUCCACGAAGUAGAGUUCAUCUUUUGUGAGAUCGUCGGUCUCCGCCGAUCCCAUCGGAAGCAUCGUCUCGUUACGAUGGCAGAAAGCUGUUCCGCAUUGCCGAGAGGUUCGAUGAGGUUCUGGCAGGUACACAUGUGGAGCAGAGCAGAGGAUCGACUUGAAGAACCGUCUAAUAAAAAUAUUAAUUGCACGGCUCGUUAGAAGACCCCCCGCAAUGUCUGCUAGAAGUUCAGCCGGGGUCGCCUCGCGGGGAGUCUGAUUCUUCGGUAAACUUAUACCCUCGUCGAUACGGGAUUAUUGACCGCACGGUGGUGCUUCGAGGGACGCACGGCAUUGUCGACGAUGUCUUCCGAUUUGCAUUUCCUCCUGUGCCCCUGGAUGAUCAUAAAUCCAUCGGAAAGCCCCCGCUUCCUGAGCCACUGUUCGCGCGUGCAUAUCGUCUAAAAGUUAAUCUUGAAACAGGGAUCGCUAGCAAAGUUUGGACGCAAUUUGAGAAUAACCUUAGAAUUAGUAUCGAGUUGAAAAUGCACAAAAAAAAACAUUGAUAAAUAGCUAUUUAGAUUGAACAUAAAAUAUAUGUUCUUUAUUUAAAAUAUCUUUUGAAUAUAUCGAAUACUAUAUCGAAAUACUUAUCAAGAUUUUUUAAAUAAGUGAGGUAAGUAUCUAAGAUAAAAAUAUUUUAAUUAUUUUUUUUUAAUUUUAUGUUUAUUCUCUUUAUUAUGUUUUUAUUAAAGCGAUUUUUAAGCGAUUAUUA